UGGGGAAUAUUGCACAAUGGGCGCAAGCCUGAUGCAGCCAUGCCGCGUGUGUGAAGAAGGCCUUCGGGUUGUAAAGCACUUUCAGCGAGGAGGAAGGUGGUGAGCUUAAUACGCUCAUCAAUUGACGUUACUCGCAGAAGAAGCACCGGCUAACUCCGUGCCAGCAGCCGCGGUAAUACGGAGGGUGCAAGCGUUAAUCGGAAUUACUGGGCGUAAAGCGCACGCAGGCGGUUUGUUAAGUCAGAUGUGAAAUCCCCGGGCUCAACCUGGGAACUGCAUUUGAAACUGGCAAGCUAGAGUCUCGUAGAGGGGGGUAGAAUUCCAGGUGUAGCGGUGAAAUGCGUAGAGAUCUGGAGGAAUACCGGUGGCGAAGGCGGCCCCCUGGACGAAGACUGACGCUCAGGUGCGAAAGCGUGGGGCAGCAAACAGGAUUAGAUACCCUGGUAGUCCACGCUGUAAACGAUGUCGAUUUGGAGGUUGUGCCCCUUGAGGCGUGGNUUCCGGAGCUAACGCGUUAAAUCGACCGCC
rnacentral:rRNA from 1 species